rnacentral:rRNA from 1 species
GUAGCUAAGUUCGGAAUUGAUAAGCGCUGAAAGCAUCUAAGCGCGAAGCGAGCCCUGAGAUGAGUCUUCCCUGACGGUUUAACCGUCCUAAAGGGUUGUUCGAGACUAGAACGUUGAUAGGCAGGGUGUGUAAGCGUUGUGAGGCGUUGAGCUAACCUGUACUAAUUGCCCGUGAGGCUUAACCAUACAACACCCAAGGGGUUUUGUA